GACGAACGCUGGCGGCGUGCCUAAUACAUGCAAGUAGAACGCUGAAGCGAGGAGCUUGCUCUUCUUGGGUGAGUUGCGCACGGGUGAGUAACGCGUAGGUAACCUGCCUUGUAGCGGGGGAUAACUAUUGGAAACGAUAGCUAAUACCGCAUAACAAUGGAUGACACAUGUCAUUUAUGUGAAAUGGGCAAUUGCUCCACUACAAGAUGGACCUGCGUUGUAUUAGCUAGUAGGUGAGGUAAUGGCUCACCUAGGCGACGAUACAUAGCCGACCUGAGAGGGUGGUCGGCCACACUGGGACUGAGACACGGCCCAGACUCCUACGGGAGGCAGCAGUAGGGAAUCUUCGGCAAUGGGGGCAAACCUGACCGAGCAACGCCGCGUGAGUGAAGAAGGUUGUCGGAUCGUAAAGCUCUGUUGUAAGUCAAGAACGGGUGUGAGAGUGGAAAGUUCACACUGUGACGGUAGCUUACCAGAAAGGGACGGCUAACUACGUG
rnacentral:rRNA from 1 species